CUUCUAGCUUCACAAAUUCAAACUCCUUUUGGUUUCCCACCAUGGUCUGGAGCCUGUUUCUCUUCACGCUCCUCAGCUAUUGCUCAGGUGCCAGUGCACAGCAGACCCUGACUCAGCCUCCCUCACAGUCUGGCUCUCUUGGACAAACAACAAAACUCUCCUGCACUGUCAGCAGUAACAAGAAUCCCUUUGGCUGGGUUCAACAGACACCUGGUCAGGCCCCUCGGUUUCUCUUCUAUGGCAGCAGCAGGGGAACCGGGGUCUCCGAUCGGUUCAGCGUUUCUGAAUCAGGCAACACUGGCUAUUUAAGCAUCAGUAAUCUCCAGACUGGAGAUGAGGCCGCUUAUUACUGUUACAUGUGGCCCAGCGGGGGUAGCCAGUGCCACGGUGGUGCAAAUUCACAGCCUAUCCUGACUCAGCCACCUUCAGCAUCAGUCUCCCUCGGGAAUUCAAUAAGGCUUUCCUGCACUUUGAGCAGCGAGCACAGUAACUAUUAUGUUGGGUGGUAUCAACAGAGAGCACAAGAGGCUCCACGUUUCGUAUGGUAUGGUGACAGCACCCGGGGAGCCGGGAUCCCGGAUCGAUUCACCGGCUCCAAGUCUGGUGGCACUCGCUAUUUGACCAUCACUGGCAUCAAGGUUGAAGAUGAAGCUGAUUAUUACUGUGGUGCAGACUAUAGGAUUGGUGGUGUCUACGGUUACUCACAGUGA